rnacentral:rRNA from 1 species
ACGAACGCUGGCGGCGUGCUUCACACAUGCAAGUCGAACGGAAAGGCCCUGCCUUUGUGGGGUGCUCGAGUGGCGAACGGGUGAGUAACACGUGAGUAACCUGCCCUUGACUUUGGGAUAACUUCAGGAAACUGGGGCUAAUACCGGAUAGGAGCUCCUGCUGCAUGGUGGGGGUUGGAAAGUUUCGGCGGCUGGGGAUGGACUCGCGGCUUAUCAGCUUGUUGGUGGGGUAGUGGCUUACCAAGGCUUUGACGGGUAGCCGGCCUGAGAGGGUGACCGGCCACAUUGGGACUGAGAUACGGCCCAGACUCCUACGGGAGGCAGCAGUGGGGAAUAUUGCACAAUGGGCGGAAGCCUGAUGCAGCAACGCCGCGUGCGGGAUGACGGCCUUCGGGUUGUAAACCGCUUUCGCCUGUGACGAAGCGUGAGUGACGGUAAUGGGUAAAGAAGCACCGGCUAACUACGUG